rnacentral:piRNA from 1 species
UAAAAUGGUGUAGUGCACGACAUCAGUGA